rnacentral:rRNA from 2 species
CUCGUAGGCGGUUUGUCGCGUCGGGAGUGAAAUCCACUGGCUUAACUGGUGGCUUGCUUUCGAUACGGGCAGACUGGAGGUAUGCAGGGGAGAACGGAAUUCCUGGUGUAGCGGUGAAAUGCGCAGAUAUCAGGAGGAACACCGGUGGCGAAGGCGGUUCUCUGGGCAUGUCCUGACGCUGAGGAGCGAAAGUGUGGGGAGCGAACAGGAUUAGAUACCCUGGUAGUCCACACCGUAAACGUUGGGCGCUAGGUGUGGGAUCCAUUCCACGGGUUCCGUGCCGCAGCUAACGCAUUAAGCGCCCCGCCUGGGGAGUACGGCCGCAAGGCUAAA